rnacentral:ncRNA from 1 species
AAUAACGAAUGGCAAGAAGUCAGCAGAAGUCAUAGUACCAUUAUGGCUUAAGACAUAGUGGGAAGGAC